UACGUAGGGGGCAAGCGUUAUCCGGAAUUACUGGGUGUAAAGGGAGCGUAGGCGGUAGAGUAAGUUAGAUGUGAAAGCCCCAAGGCUCAACCUUGGGACUGCAUUUAAAACUGCUUUACUAGAGUACAGGAGAGGAAAGUGGAAUUCCUAGUGUAGCGGUGAAAUGCGUAGAUAUUAGGAGGAACACCAGUGGCGAAGGCGACUUUCUGGACUGUAACUGACGCUGAGGCUCGAAAGCGUGGGGAGCGAACAGG
rnacentral:rRNA from 1 species